ACUUUAUUUAUUUGUGUUUAAUGAAGUAGUUUACAAGUAGACGAGGGACAUGACGUACAGGUAAAUAUUAAGAGUAGAUGGCAUUCACAGCUUCCGAGUCAUAAUAAUAAUAAUAAUAAUAAUAAUAAUAAUAAUAAUAAUAAUAAUAAUAAUAAUAAUAAUAAUAAUAGUAAUAGAGGAAGACAGGCUUAGCUUAACACGACAAAUUAUUCGUUAGUUAGUGUUCAUUUAAAUCCCUUAAAAUCAUAAAACCACAGCGUUAGAAAAAGCUAUAGCGUUGAUUCUAAAGGUAUAGUCAGUGCAUUGCUAACCAUCUCUCUCUCUCUCUCUCUCUCUCUCUCUCUCUCUCUCUCUCUCUCGCAGGCGGUAAGGGUUAUUUUUUUAUACAUAACUUAUUUUAUACAGAUUUUUUACAGGUUUCUUUUUUACACACUUUUUACAAUGCUCGCGCGCCGCUGCCGUGUGCCCGAGAGCUAGGGCGGCGGGGGCGGGAUGGGAUGGGGAGGGGGAAGGAGGACGGAAUGUGGGAGGGGGAAGGUGGGAGUGGAAGGGGGGACGGGUAGGCGGGGGGGGGGGGGGGUAGUGACUUUCCCGCUGCCAGAUGGAGUGCUACUACUUAUGUAGGAGCUCUGGAAGGAGCUGCCUCGUACAGGCCUACCGGCCUCAUGCAGACUCCUGCGUUCUUAUGUUCUUAUGUACUUCUACUACUACUACUACUACUACUACUACUACUACUACUUUUUUUUAUUACGGGCCUCCAUCCAUUAGAGUUGCGUUGUGAGCGGUAUCUUUUCUCGUAUCCUUUCACAAAGCAAUUCAUUGGCCAAUGACUGUGGCCGACAACUACUACUACUGCUACUGUUCUGUUACGGCUAUUUUCAUUCCUCCUCCUCCUCCUCCUACUACUACUACUACUACUACUACUACUACUACCACCUCUCACCCCCCUCUCUCCCCUUCCCCAGGUUGGAGGAGGGACCCUUGCCUGCGGCGCCUCGCUCGCUCCGUCGGCGCCGAGGGACAGCUCCUGCGGCGGCGCUGAAGGUCCCAACGUCCAGUUGCUGCCCGCGCCGCCUCUCAUUUCCGCGUCGGAUGUAAACAAUUAGGAAGGAAUGUCACCUGGAGCGCUGCGAGUCCCUGAGAGCCAUGCAAAGAUGCAAUGGUCGGCGGAGCUUCAUUCUUCCCUCCCUUCAUCCCUUGUGCUAACGAAGACCUUGAUUCCGUGGCUUAAUUGGCGGACUAAUUGGUAGAUACACUGACCUCCGCAAAGCAAGAAGUGUAUCUUUCGCUUUUGUGUCCUGAAGGGGGCAUCAUGUUCCUUGACGUGCCCUUCCUCUGCGUCAACUUCUUCGGUGACCAGACU